AGCCUUAUGCCUAUCCCACGCAUGUUUAAACUCCUUUACACUGUUUCUAUACCAGGAGCACACAGCGUGUCCAUACCGAGAGAACACAGCGUGUCCAUCCCGAGAGCACACAGUGUGUCUAAACCGGGAGCACAUAGUGUAUCUACAGGCACAGAGGGUGUCUAUACUAGGAGCGCACAGCGUGUCUGUACCAGGAGCGCACAGCAUGUCUAUACCGGGAGCACACAGUGUGUCUGUACCGGGAGAACACAGCGUGUCUAUACCGG